AACGAACGCUGGCGGCAUGCCUAACACAUGCAAGUCGAACGAGACCUUCGGGUCUUGUGGCGCACCGGUGCGUAACGAGUGGUAACUUGCCCUUAGGUUCGGAAUAACUCCCCGAAAGGGGUGCUAAUACCGGUUAAUGUCUUCGGACCAAAGAUUUCUUGCCUUGGGAUGGGCCCGCGUUGGUUUAGCUAGUUGGUAGGGUAAAAGCCUACCAAGGCGACGAUCCAUAGCUGGUCUGAGAGGAUGAUCAGCCACACUGGGACUGAGACACGGCCCAGACUCCUACGGGAGGCAGCAGUGGGGAAUAUUGGACAAUGGGCGAUAGCGUGAUCCAGCAAUGCCGCGUGAGUGAUGAAGGCCUUAGGGUUGUAAAGCUCUUUUACCCGGGAUGAUAAUGACAGUACCGGGAGAAUAAGCUCCGGCUAACUCCGUG
rnacentral:rRNA from 1 species